AUCUGUGAAGUUGAAGAGAAUCGAAGGUUAGGAAGAACAAAAGAAUAGUUAAAAUGCUUGUUUGAUCUGGGAGAUAAAAGAAUACUAACUUAUCCCUAAGGUGUGCUAUGUUUUUUCCCAUCUCUUUACCACCUUUCUUCCCCUGACUUAACUCAAACAGGAAAGAUUUGCUUUUGCCUCAACAUCCCUAAUGGUAGUACUAGUAACAAAAGUUCUGGGAGUACUAACUUUUCAUCAGUUGGAGAUGGAGUACACGCAGUACAGUGGGGAGUUGAGUUUAUGUAAGCAAAGGUGGACGUGCAGGGGUGGGACAGGGAGGAAAAUGGGAAGUCUUCUAAGGGGAGUUUCUGUACCCCUGUCAUUGUGAUACUGGGUCUCCCCCUUGCCUGCAUGGAAGUGGUGAGGCUCUUUGAAGAUAGGGGCCACCUUUCCUGUUCUUCCAUCUCUGCAGAAGUGUGUAAGGGUCAAAAGCACAAAAACUUUUGUGACAGAUUCUUUAACCUGACUACUGCUGCUUGGACCCAGACAGUAUGUUAGCUCCAAAGAAUUCAGUUGUAUGCACUUAGUUUUGCCACAGGAGUCUUCCGAGGUACGUUGGUUUUGAGGCCAGAGGUAAUGUACUUCUGAAGUAUGUUAGAUUUUGAGAGCCAGAGACUUACAGUUAGAGUACAGCCCCCUGAGCGCACUGCAGGCCUUUUUAGGACUAAAACUACAAACCUGGGAACCUUGUAUUUUUGUAAGAGGGUAGAAAUUUCAGUGGGCAGCAUGUUUCUUGAGUUGCUCUCAGAGGAGUUUCAGACUAGAUUCUCCACAACUUUAUUGUAGUUUUGAAUCAAAGCUUUAAAAUGGUCUGAAGUAUGGUCAGUUAUUUAUUAGUUUCUUUUUGGCUGCUUGAUAACCAAGAUUGCUUCUUUGAUUCUAGGAUUUAUGAGUUCCACGAGGGUGAGUGGUAUCCUUCUAGGAUAUAAAUCAAUCUCUAGUGUCUAGAAGAGGUCUUCAAGUUGUCCUCAAGUUCAUGGAAAGUAUGAGUCAGUUGAAGGAUUUGAGUGGUUAAGAUGAACAUACUGAUGUUUAGAGUUAUAAAAUACUGAAACAUGUUGCCAAGUGAGGUUGAGUUUCCUGCUUUGAAAAAAAAGAUACUUGGGAUUGAUGUCCACUUUGAGGAAGGGACUCUGGGCUUUCUUGAGGUUUGAUUAUGUCUUGAAGA